rnacentral:rRNA from 1 species
GUUGGAAACGGUAACUAAUACCGUAUACGCCCUACGGGGGAAAAAUUUAUUGCGUAUUAGAUGAGCCUAUAUUAGAUUAGCUAGUUGGUGAGUAAUAGCCUACCAAGGCAAUGAUCUAUAGCUGAUCUGAGAGGAUGAUCAGCCACACUGGAACUGAGACACGGUCCAG